GGCGCGAUGGGAGCUGUGCGAGAGGGAGAGAGCGGCCCGUCACCGGCCUCCUGCCGAGCAGAGAGCUGUGAAACCCCCAGCCCACAUUCCGCUCACUCGAGCGCUGUCAGUUCCCUUUAUGUUAUCUAGAGUACCACGCAGUGUUUGAGGCUUCUUGCUUAACCAACCUCGACAAAACGGAGUAAGAAAUUGCUGAUAGUGACCAACUGUCUGUUCAUUUAAAAAGGUAACACUGCACCAAUGGUGCGGGGAAUCUGAGGAGACAAAGUAUACCAGAUCUACACAGUGAAGAUGAAGGUUUUUAUGACUGGUGGCAAAAUUUCUUUUCCUGAUUCCCUCCAUUUGAUUGUGUAAAGUUCAAGGAUGUCGGACAGGUGAUCUUCAACUUAGAGAAGUUUUCCUAAACCACAGCUGUCAGGAUAACACCAGUGGUACUCAUGGUCAUCCAGCCCUUUGCAGAGAAGAAUGAAUGGAAUCGAGGCAUGAUUGAAGGAACUAUUAGCUUUCUGUACUCAACAGCUCUUGGUUGAUACCUUUCAGAAUCUCAUCCUGCUCAGCUUGCUGAUUUAGAUUCAAACAAUCUUUAGGAAAAUGGAUAAACAGUCCCUGAUCUUCUGAUCAAGAGGUGGAGCAGCUAAUUUAUACAGAUCAAUGGGUGCCAGAAGCAGCCGUCCACUUGCUCACACUCAUAAUUCCUGGGUAAUGCUAUUCCCCUCCUUCUGUUUGUGUGUGGUCUGCAACCCCCUUUAUGACAGGUUUCUCCAAAAUAAGUUCUUCCUGGAGACUUUGCAAAAUAGCCCCACUCUCACUUCCUUUCUCUGAGCUAACGGUUCAGCAUAAGCCUUCAGGAAUUCAAUUGAAAAUGCUGUAGAGGCAGCUUUCAAUUAACAGGCUGUUACCAGCCUUUUAUAUGCUUCCAGGUACGCCAACUGAGAUGAACAUCAAAUAGAACAUCGAACAGUACAGCACAGGAGCAGACCUUCCAGCCAACAAUGUUGUGUCAAACCAAAUUAAAUGGCCAACUAAACAAAUCCCUUUUGUCUAUACAGUAUCCAUAUCCUUCCAUUUUCCUCG